rnacentral:tRNA from 1 species
CAAAAUGUAGCUUAAAUAAAGCCUUUCGCUUACACCGAAAUUAUAUCUGUUAAAUUCAGAUCAUUUUGA